GACGUAGGGCGCGAGCGUUGUCCGGAUUUAUUGGGCGUAAAGAGCGUGUAGGCGGCCAUACAGGUCAGCUGUGAAAACUCGAGGCUCAACCUCGGGCCUGCAGUGGGUACGGGCAGACUAGAGUGCGGUAGGGGAGAUUGGAAUUCCCGGUGUAGCGGUGAAAUGCGCAGAUAUCGGGAAGAACACCCGUGGCGAAGGCGGCGUCUCUGGGGACGGUACUGACGCUGAGACGCGAAAGCGUGGGGAGCGAACAGG
rnacentral:rRNA from 1 species